GCUGGUGUGGCUCAGUGGAUAGAGCGUCAGCCUGUGGACUGAAGGGUCCUGGGUUCAAUUCCCAGUCAAGGGCA
rnacentral:tRNA from 1 species